rnacentral:misc_RNA from 1 species
ACCGAUACCAAUGACUAUGACGUCAAGAUGCGUAACGUGUUCAAGUUCCUCGACAAUGGGGACAAGGUAAAGAUCACGCUGCGGUUCCGCGGCCGUGAGAUGGCCCACCAGAACCUUGGCCGCGAGCUGCUUGAACGCGUUGCCGAAGACACCAAAGAAGUUGGCCGCGUUGAAAACUUCCCGAAGAUGGAAGGCCGCCAGAUGGUCAUGCUCAUCGGGCCGCUGCCAAGCAAAUAAUUCCGGGUCUUACAGUCCCGAGACGCAAAAAGCCCCCGCAGUUUCCUGCGGGGGCUUUUCUAUGUCUUGAAACUCGCGCUUACUGACGCAGCAGA